AUCUUUGUCCUCUGCGAAAAUUGUAAUUAGUGGCUGGAAAGAAAGGGACUUGAUUCCUCCUAAGCCCUAAGUAAGGGGAACAAGUGGCGUUGGUCUAUCAUGGCAACCAUUCUAAGCAGGAAUACCCCACCAUGCCUCUGCUACUCCAAUAGAAUCUAGAAGUGUGGAAAACUUGAUGGAUUCUACCUAGUUCCUUCUCCUCUCAGAGACCAUAUGCAAUCACCCCAGAAUUGUCAAGAGAAGAAACAGCAUUGAAACCAAAAAACA